CCAAUAGCGUAUAUUAAAGUUGUUGCAGUUAAAAAGCUCGUAGUUGAAUUUCGGGGUCAGCAGGUUGGUCGUGCCAAUGGUAUGAACUGGCCUUGCUGAUUCAUCCCUCUUGAUGAGCCGUAAUGCCAUUAAUUUGGUGUUGCGGGGAAUCAGGACUGUUACUUUGAAAAAAUUAGAGUGUUUAAAGCAGGCAAGCGCUUGAAUACAUUAGCAUGGAAUAAUGAAAUAGGACGUUUGAUCCUAUUUUGUUGGUUUCUAGGAUUGACGUAAUGAUUAAUAGGGAUAGUUGGGGGCAUUAGUAUUCAAUUGUCAGAGGUGAAAUUCUUGGAUUUAUUGAAGACUAACUACUGCGAAAGCAUUUGCCAAGGAUGUUUUCAUUAAUCAAGAACGAAAGUUAGGGGAUCGAAGACGAUCAGAUACCGUCGUAGUCUUAACCAUAAACUAUGCCGACUAGGGAUCGGAUGAUGUUAAUUUUUUAAUGACUCAUUCGGCGCCUUACG
rnacentral:rRNA from 1 species